AAUGUGUGACUGUAUUGUAGCAAACAGCUACUUAAGUUUCAAAUCUGUGAAACUGACAGUAGGCUACAUCACUGGCAUCCUCUGGCUUUUCCUCACAGGAGGCUAGACUGGCAAUCAAACAACUAACUAACCAACUCCAGGCAAAAAAUCAUCAGCUAACUUAACAACAUAGGUGUGGAGGCAGUGUGCUGCGCUAUGUUCAUGUGGGGAGUGGGCUAACUAAUUAUUACAUUUUAAUGUGAAGUAUGAUUUAAGGUUUGUUUUUAAAACUUUACGUUGUAAAGAAAAGACCAACAAAAUAAUCUAGUAGCACUUAGAGACAUUGGCAUGAAAAAAUUCUUACUUGUCUGUGAUUCCCCUCAGGCCUGUGGUCAGGUUUCCUCAGCAGGUCAACAAACAUCAUGGAGAAGAAGCUUUGGUUGGUCAGUUUUUUAAGCUAAACAACAUAAUAAUAAAUAGAAGGAUACCUUCAAAAUCAACGUGGUCAACCUCAAUAUAGUCAAUGUGAAGGUUCACAGGUUUCCACAACAAAUAUCAGAUCAACAAAUAUUUCAGAAACACUCUGACAUGCUAGCAGUAGUAUCUAAACUGUAUAAUAAUAAUAACUAGAACUCAUCUUUUCUGAUACCAAAGUCCAUUUUAAUGUAUUUAAACACAAUUUUUUUUCUUUUUGUUGAACCUGUGCAUCGAGAACACCUGUAUCAUUGCGCAUGACAAGGUUCACAGUGGACAAAGUCCUCACUCCACCAAUGGGGAAACAUCAUGGAUGUCUUGAAGGCCGAUGACCGCUUCAUCAUGCUGGUCAAUGCCAUCGAGAGAGCAGGUAUAAUUGAGCUUCUGAACCAGCAGGUGGUGUACACCUUCUUCGCUCUCACCAAUGAUGCUUUCGAUGCACUGCCGCAGGAUGAAGGCAACAGGCUGAUGCAUGAGUUUUAUUCAACCACACAGCUUCUCUUUAUUCACAUUCUUAAUUAAUUAAUUUAUUUUUGGGGGUGGGGGCUGUAAAAUAAAGUAGAACAGUGAAACCACACAGCCUCUCAUUUGAUACCAUGUCUCCUGAUUCAGCCUCACCUCAUGUCUGUCUUGACUAACAUCUCUGUAUGAAAAUGAAAUUGAAGAACAAUCAAAUCGUUAUGUCUUAGUCUUUCUUACAUUUUUAUAACAAAAGUUGCUCUGUAAUGUUCUCAGAUUCUACCUAUAACAGUGGU